UACGUAGGGUGCAAGCGUUAAUCGGAAUUACUGGGCGUAAAGCGUGCGCAGGCGGCUUUGCAAGACAGAUGUGAAAUCCCCGGGCUCAACCUGGGAACUGCAUUUGUGACUGCAUCGCUGGAGUGCGGCAGAGGGGGAUGGAAUUCCACGUGUAGCAGUGAAAUGCGUAGAGAUGUGGAGGAACACCGAUGGCGAAGGCAGCCCCCUGGGCUAACACUGACGCUCAUGCACGAAAGCGUGGGGAGCAAACAGG
rnacentral:rRNA from 1 species